rnacentral:lncRNA from 1 species
CGGGGGCGGCGGCGGCAGCACGGGAGGCGCCGGAGCCACACACCCCGCAGUCGGAGAAGAGAGGAAAGGAUGGCCGAGAGUGACGGAAGGAAGGACCGGAGUGAACCACUCGGAGGAAGUCCCAAGGCCGCGGAGCUAUGCCACCGGGGAAAUGUCCUGGAGAAGCCCUGUCCUCCACCCAGAACACUUUAAGCAGCGAUAGCGGUGGGCGGCAUGAGGCUGCAGACCGGACGGCGAGCCUGCUUCGUUCAGAUGCUGCUCUGCCCUCCCGAGAUGGCAAGUAAGGGAGAAGUGUCCUGCCGGGCCAUCCACUUCAGGAGCAUCCACCCUACUAGAGAACAUUUUCUGAACAGAAGAUAUUUUGUCUCAUCCUGUUAAUCCCUGAGGCAGAUGGUUGAAGCAGCAUCUGAAGACACAGACUCUGGAAGACACACAUGUUUCCUUGUCCUCACUCCACCCAGCGAUAUCCUCUCCUUUCUUCUGGAC